AAGAAAAGGGUUUCCUGGAGCACAAGGUGAAUCAGGUGACAAAGGUUUUCCUGGACCAUCUGAAACCUUGGUUGUGAUUGGAAAUAAAGGAGAACAAGGCUCAAAAGGAGUCCAAGGAAGAAUGGGCCUAAAAGGAGAAAAAGGAGAUGCAGGUGUCCAAGGUCCCCCAGGUCUUACUGGAUCUGAAGGAGUACCUGGUGUACCAGGUGUCAAAGGAUUUAUGGGUCUUCCAGGGAUUCCUGGAGGACAAGGAUUUCCUGGUGCACCAGGAAACAAAGGGAACAUGGGAAUUCCAG
rnacentral:lncRNA from 1 species